rfam:Ixodes scapularis strain Wikel colony gcontig_1108378357496, whole genome shotgun sequence.
CCGUCGAUAGCUCAGUUGGUAGAGCGGUGGACUGUAGAGGCUCUCUUGCACGGAUAUCCAUAGGUCGCUGGUUCAAAUCCGGCUCGACGGA